rnacentral:rRNA from 1 species
UACGAGGGGGGCGAGCGUUGUUCGGAAUUAUUGGGCGUAAAGGGUGCGUAGGCGGUUCCGCAAGUCCUGUGUGAAAUCUUCGGGCUCAACUCGAAGUCUGCACGGGAAACUGCGGGGCUUGAGUGUGGGAGAGGUGAGUGGAAUUCCCGGUGUAGCGGUGAAAUGCGUAGAUAUCGGGAAGAACACCCGUGGCGAAGGCGGCUCUCUGGAACGCAACUGACGCUGAGACGCGAAAGCGUGGGGAGCAAACAGG